UACGAGAGGCCCAAACGUUAUUCGGAAUUACUGGGCUUAAAGAGUUCGUAGGCGGCGCGGAAAGUGGGGUGUGAAAGCCCUCGGCUCAACCGAGGAAUUGCGCUCCAAACUACCGUGCUUGAGGAAGCUAGAGGUGAGCAGAACUGAUGGUGGAGCGGUGAAAUGCGUUGAUAUCAUCAGGAAUACCGGAGGCGAAGGCGGCUCACUGGGGCGCUUCUGACGCUGAGGAACGAAAGCCAGGGUAGCGAACGGG
rnacentral:rRNA from 1 species